rnacentral:rRNA from 1 species
CCUACGGGGGGCAGCAGUAGGGAAUCUUCCACAAUGGUCGAAAGCCUGAAGGAGCAACGCCGCGUGGGUGAAGAAGGUAUUCGGAUCGUAAAACCCUGUUGUUAGAGAAGAAAGUGUGUGAGAGUAACUGUUCACGUUUCGACGGGAUCUAACCAGAAAGCCACGGCUAACUACGUGCCAGCAGCCGCGGCAAUGCGUAGGUGGGAAGCGUUAUCCGGAUUUAUUGGGCGUAAAGGGAACGCGGGCGGUCUUUUAAGUCUGAUGUGAAAGCCUUCGGCUUAACCGGAGUAGUGCAUUGGAAACUGGGAGACUUGAGUGCAGAAGAGGAGUGUGGAACUCGAGGUGUAGCGGUGAAAUGCGUAGAUAUAUGGAAGAACACCAGUGGCGAAAGCAGCACUCUGG